GUUUUAUCCAAAUGCGGACGAUGUACAAAAUCAAGAGUGUUUUCCAUUACCAUACCAGAUGUCAUGUUCCUUUAUAUUUAAAGGUGAUACGAUUGAUCUCCAUCUUAAAAACUUUCUUAUUGGUGGUCCCUGUUUCAGUGGUUUGGUUCCUAAGUUCACGUGAACGAAGAUUGGAUCACCUCGAAAUCUUGUCCCACAUCUGUUUAAUAACCGCCUACUAUAUCCAUGGCAUACGGCCUGCUGUUUGAUCCAUUCUAAUUCCUCAUUGACACUGGCCAUUGUGGUACAAUGCAUUAAAAUUCUUUGUAAGAGUGCCC
rnacentral:lncRNA from 1 species